CCUACGGGAGGCAGCAGUGGGGAAUAUUGGACAAUGGGCGAAAGCCUGAUCCAGCAAUGCCGCGUGUGUGAAGAAGGCCUGCGGGUUGUAAAGCACUUUCGGUGGGGAAGAAAAGCUCGGGGCUAAUACCUCCGGGCCUUGACGUUACCCACAGAAGAAGCACCGGCUAACUCCGUGCCAGCAGCCGCGGUAAU
rnacentral:rRNA from 1 species